rnacentral:rRNA from 1 species
UACAGGGGGUGCAAACGUUGCUCGGAAUCAUUGGGCGUAAAGCGCACGUAGGCGGUUCGUUAUGUCGGAUGUGAAAGCCCUUGGCUUAACCGAGGAAGUGCAUCCGAAACUGGCGAGCUAGAGUACUAAAGAGGAUCGCGGAAUUCACGGUGUAGAGGUGAAAUUCGUAGAUAUCGGGAGGAACACCGGUGGCGAAGGCGGCGAUCUGGGUAGAUACUGACGCUGAGGUGCGAAAGCGUGGGGAGCAAACAGG